rnacentral:rRNA from 1 species
GACGAACGCUGGCGGCGUGCUUAACACAUGCAAGUCGAACGGAAAGGCCCUGCUUUUGUGGGGUGCUCGAGUGGCGAACGGGUGAGUAACACGUGAGUAACCUGCCCUUGACUUUGGGAUAACUUCAGGAAACUGGGGCUAAUACCGGAUAGGAGCUCCUGCUGCAGGGUGGGGGGUGGAAAGUUUCGGCGGUUGGGGAUGGACUCGCGGCUUAUCAGCUUGUUGGUGGGGUAGUGGCUUACCAAGGCUUUGACGGGUAGCCGGCCUGAGAGGGUGACCGGCCACAUUGGGACUGAGAUACGGCCCAGACUCCUACGGGAGGCAGCAGUGGGGAAUAUUGAACAAUGGGCGGAAGCCUGAUGCAGCAACGCCGCGUGCGGGAUGACGGCCUUCGGGUUGUAACCCGCUUUCGCCUGUGACGAAGCGUGAGUGACGGUAAUGGGUAAAGAAGCACCGGCUAACUACGUG